UCCACAGGAUCGUCCAUGCCGAUCUUGAAUAGCGGGUUUGGGACUCUCUGGGGAUAUUUUUUGAGGUAGGUCGAUUUACUUUUUUCUUCCUUUCGCUUCUUCACUUAGUUCAUUUCUUAGCUUUCAUAUUGACUUUCUGGCCGCUCUUGCAGAUUGGACACCAGCUCAUCGCCAACAUCGUGGCGAUGGAAAAUGCAAAGAAGG
rnacentral:lncRNA from 1 species